AACCUCCCCAAAAUGAGGUUGGGAGGUGGUAAAAGAAUCUUGAUUUAAAACGUAGGAAUUAGUUUAACUGAAGGCGUUCGACUGAGUCUAGGUACUUGGGUCCUGGAACAAGCUAUGAUACCAUGUCAACCUAUGGCAUUAGCAUCAGUUUAACUGAAGGCACUGCAGUGCGACAAUUGCAUUAUACGUAUCACAAGAAAGAAGCUAUUUUCGAUAAAUAUGGACAACCUAUUCUCUGGUUAGUUGAAAU